CAGCGUGAGCCAAUAGUAUCUGUCUGCGGCAGGGCGGCCCUGUAAGGAAAAAUACUGUAGCCUGCCCUGUACUAGCCGUAUGCGAGCGAGGUGGUGUGACAGCUCAGAGGUGUCCACGUCAACAUAGCGAACGAAAGAGCACGUCGGCAAUGGAUUCUACGUCUCUGGAACCUUCCCUCUACACAGUGAAAGCUGUUUUCAUUCUUGACAAUGAUGGCAACAGACUUCUGUCAAAGUACUAUGACCCUGAGCUUUACUCCUCCAUGAAGGACCAAAGGAACUUUGAGAAGAACAUUUUCAACAAGACUCACAAAGCAGACAAUGAAAUAGCUUUCCUGGAGGGAAUGACUAUCGUCUAUAAGAGCAGUAUAGACCUUUUCCUCUAUGUGGUCGGAAGCUGUCAAGAGAAUGAGCUGAUGCUGAUGUCUGUACUCAACUGCCUAUUUGACUGCCUCAGUCAAAUCCUGAGAAAAAAUGUGGAGCGUAGGUGUUUUCUUGAAAACAUGGAAGGAGCCUUUCUCAUUGUUGAUGAAAUCAUUGAUGGGGGAGUGAUCCUGGAGAGUGACGCCCAGCUAGUCCUCCAGAAGGUCAAUUAUCGGGUUGAUGAAAGUUCAUUAUCUGAACAAAGCGUAGCACAGCUAUGACCUCAGACAAGAACUUCUCAAGAGGAAAAUUACCAUGGUGGGAACAGUGAAGAAAAAUAAACCUGAGUUGCCUGCUGAAAUCUUGCAGGUGAAGCGCCGGGCUCCACUUUCCUCAAAGUUUACAUAUACACAACGGACACGCCAUGGAAAGAUGACACCCCAGUCUCCGGUGAGACUCGCUCUUCCCGCCGAGAUAGACAACCACGGGGUGGCGAUACUCAACUUCACAUGCAGACGCUAAGUGAAUCACCAGCCACGAUCAUCAGAAGCAAGACACAGACAUUUGCUUUGGCAUGCCGACGCUAAGUGAAUUACCAGCAGGCGGAGCAUCAAAGCGCAGACCAAAGAUACAGAGUUCGCACUAGCACGUUAAAUUAAUUAACUUCCACCAACAUCCAGCCCGGAGGAUCUCGCCAACAAAGGCUUCGCCACCCUGUUGGUUACCGCUCCACUUGGCCAGCCAGCUGGGAGUUUAGACAGAGCAACAGCGACACCCACAGGCGACGUAACGGCACUGCGGACGCAGGUUCAUUAAACAGUCUUUACUGGACUUGGCUGGGAGUUAAUAUUUUAAGAACUUUACAAUAAUGCCACUAGUGACUGUAUUUCUGCAAACUUGAAUGUCUGAUGUCGAAUCUGUUGUCAACUGAAACAUGAAAUGUUUCACUCCACACCACACAAACACCACAUUGCAAAUAGUAGUGUUCUUAACAAUCAUAACAUUUGAAACAUUCGCUACAGGUAUUAAAGAGGAUGGCCGUGGGACAAUGCAAAGGGGGAAAAUGGUCUCGUUAUCUUAAAUCCAAUAAUUAAUAUUUUAUUCCACAGGUUUUAAACCACAAAAUAAUCCCAAAAUGGAAAAUUAACACUCGGAGGCAAUCCAGCCCCCCUUGUGGCCCCGAAGGUGGUGGGAAAGAAACCAAUUUUGGCUCACUUCGGCCAUAAAAAGGCCGGAGCUAUGCUCUCUGUGUCAGCUCUUGUCUCACCCAACGAACUUGCCGGAGACUGACUCAGGCAGGACGCCCACCUCACCACGAGGUGACGAGGACACAUCGAACCAUCCCCGAGUGCAGAGCAUCCUGCAAGCGCUCCGGGCUACCCUUUUUGGGGGCCUGAGCUCACCCCGGGGGGGACAGAAGCGGGCACAACGCGCCCGUUCCGAACAUCUUGCGAGCCGAGACACCCGGGCUCUGACCGUCUUGCCUGGGAACUUUUUGGGCUCCUCUUUUCCUUUUUCUUCUUCCUUUCCACCAAAUCCACCUGUUCCCGGUGUGGACCGGGCCGGCCGAACACUCAGAAGCUUGACCUGCCUGCCUCAAAUGUGUUCAAGACACGUAUAUCCAACAUUGCGGUCUAUGAAAAGUACAGAUUAGUGCAUAUUUGGGUUUCAAUUAACGAAAACAGGAAUCCCCAGCUAUAUGUAUUCACUACACGCUCAUUCUACCAAUCUCACAUCACUCAGUCAAUUUCCUUUGCCAAUGUUCGUCUGUACUUUGUUUGUUUUGUGUUUUUCUGUGUUGUUGUUGCUGUCCUAAAUUAAUUACAUUUUUAUUUAACCCGUAUACGCUACAUGGUCAAUGCAUGGAAAUCUGAAAAAUAAAUUCAGUUAGUGUAUGUUUUAUUGGUAAGAAUGUGUUCAUGUAAUAGAUGAGGUUAACACAUUUUCUUCAU